ACCGGGAAAUUAAAGCAGCGAUCACUUGGACUAUUCCGCAGCACCCCUCUCACAUUGGUACACCCCCCCCUCCCCCGGUAUUCAUUGUCUUCUACAGUAGAGCGGGACAUUUAAUUUACUCUCAGCGGAAUUGACCGGAGAAGGCAUCAGUUCAUGCACUGCACUGGCCUGCACCAUGAUUAGUAUAAGGCACAUUUCACGAAGCAGAACGCAGUCUUCAGAGAUAUCCACGUGAACGCUGUGAUACGUCUGACCUUCAGUCCGAAGAAGAAACCCAGACCAGUCUUAAAAGAAAGCACAAACCAAAUCCCCUGUACACAUAUACGGACUCAGAGGAUGAGUUUUUUUGUGGGGAAAGCCUACAAAAAAACGGUUUCCCCAGGCCCCUCGAGUGAAAAUACCAGCCCUCAUCACUCCGCAGUCUGCCCCCCAGCCCACUGAUAGCAACCAUCAUAAUGCCCCACCCAGCUUCCGGCACCUUUCGCCACUCCGGCACAAACCGACACAGCUUUGCGAUCUCCCCAGCAUGCAGAGUCUGAUGUCUUCCCUAUAGAUGAUUCCAGAGACUCUGUGAGGCCACUAUUACAAGGC